rnacentral:rRNA from 1 species
GACGUAGGGCGCGAGCGUUGUCCGGAUUGAUUGGGCGUAAAGAGCUCGUAGGCGGCUCGUUGCGUCGGCUGUGAAAACCCGCAGCUCAACUGUGGGCCUGCAGCUGAUACGGGCGGGCUGGAGUUCGGUAGGGGAGACUGGAAUUCCUGGUGUAGCGGUGAAAUGCGCAGAUAUCAGGAGGAACACCGGUGGCGAAGGCGGAUCUCUGGGCCAUUACUGACGCUGAGGAGCGAAAGCGUGGGGAGCGAACAGG